rnacentral:rRNA from 1 species
ACUCCGUACGGGAGGCAGCAGGUAGGGAAUUUUCCGCAAUGGACGGAAAAGUCUGACGGAGCAAUGCCGCGUGAGUGAUGAAGGUUUCGAAUCGUAAAGCUCUGUUGUAAGGGAAGAAUAGCAAGGAUAGGAAUGAUCCUUGUCUGACGGUACCUUACCAGAAAGCCACGGCUAACUACGUGCCAGCAGCCGCGGUAAUACGGUAGGUGGCAAGCGUUAUCCGGAAUUAUUGGGGCGUAAAGCGCAUGUAGGCGGCUUUUUAAGUCUGGUGUGAAAGCCUGUGGGCUCAACCACAGAAUUGCAUUGGAUACUGGAAAGCUAGAAUCUUGGGAGAGGUAAGUGGAAUUUCAUGUGUAGCGGUGGAAUGCGUAGAUAUAUGAAGGAACACCAAUGGCGAAGGCAGCUUACUGGACAAACGCAAUUGACGCUGAGAUGCGAAAGUGUGGUAGCGAAACAGGAUUAGAUACCCUGGUAGGUCAGUC